UGAAAACAAAAAUUAGUUUGUAAGUAACAAUUCAUUUAGCAACAACAUAUAUUUAUCCUGCUACAGUUAGAUCUGUAAUCAUAUUUGGGUGACUGCUACAGUUAAUACUCCCUUCAUAUUUCCUAUUUAUUCAUCUGCCUUAACCCUUCAUAUUUCCUAUUUAUUCAUCUGGGAUGUGCGGUCGUGGAAUAUUAUUUUUUUGAUUUCAUACUUGAGAUCACAUUUAUCCUGAUAUAGUAUUUUUUGAAUUGAUACUAAAGAGCCUCACUUGUAUGCAUUCUCAUUCAAGAACGGGAGACUGGAUGUUACUGAGAUCUUCAACUUUUCCCAAGAUGAUUUGUUAACUGAAGACAUGAUGAUACUUGACACACAUGGUGAAGUUUUCAUUUGGAUUGGUCAGUAUGUGGAAUCAAAAGAGAAACAGAAGGCAUUUGACAUA